AGAUUCAAGUGCAAGCACAUGAUAUUUAGCCAAGUCUAAGCUACCCAACUAAGCGAAUAUUACAAUCCAUUGCAGAAAAAGGUAGGACAAUAACAAAAUGCCUCUUAUGUCAUAUCCCUUCAUUUCUCUAUUUAAGCCAUUAAAGUGGUUAAGAGAAAAACAAGAUUACCAAGAAAGCAUGGACAAAGAAAUAUGAAACCAAAAAAGAAAAGGAAAUAGCUGUAAGUGCCAUGCUAAAAGUUCAUGGUUGUUCACGUGAAAUGAUAAUUGCUUGGAGGAAAAUUUACAUAAAAAUGUUAAAAUUGGUGCAGGGUUUUAACAUUCAGCUGUCCAAUCACCAUAUGUCCAACAUAAAUACCCAUCAUUCAAACAGAAUCCGAAAUGCCAAAAUUAGGACAUAUCAUUUAGAUAUAAUAUCAAUUUGAUACUGCCCUAAGAAAAAUGACAUGCUGAAAAAAAAGUGAAUUCGGGAGACUGUUCUUAGCAUUUAGUACUGAUAAAUAGCAUAUGAUAAUUCUCUUAUUGCCUUAUGAGUGACAAGUACUGCAAGUGAAAAUUGAAUGCUUGACUUCAAAUCAUAGCCUAAGAGAAGAAACUGCUUCACCAGUUCCAUUCUCCCUAGUAUUGCCAUUGUAUGCAGUACAGAGAAUUGAGGCAUCUAGGGGCGUGUAUAUGGGUUGUUUUUGGUGUUUUGUGUGUAUAAUGCUAAACCAAAACGAGCUUCUCAUCUACAAUUUAUUCAAAGCAAACCAACCAUUCAAACAUUGAAACAAAAAUUUUUGAAUUUAGUGAGUUUAAAAGUCAGUUACCUUCAAGUAUACUACAUGCUUGGGGACAGUAUAGAUGCAAGCUAAAUGGAACUCAGCCAGAAUAAGAUCCAUUGCAUGUGGGAACUGAUUCAAGAAUCAUUAAUAUAUGUUAAAAAUCAAAAGAAUUCCAAGAGUUGGGGCAAAAUCAUUUCCUACCCUCCUAAUAGCCUAAACACACGUUAUCAUUUCAAAAUCAUAUGCUAUCACCCUUAGGCCUUAACUGACUCAACAGAAUCUACAUACCACCAUAGGCCUUGAGUUGUGCAUCAAGCAAGUAAACCAUAAAUCUAUGUCUCCUCCCCCAACACAAAUAAAUCUGAUAGAAAUAUAGAGACAACAAAAUGAAGAGGAGAAAAAACAGCUAAUUAAACAAGCUGUACCUGUGAGGUAACAAGAACAAUGACAUGGCCACAUGCAAAAGCAGCAUUAUCAGGAAUUUCACAGUGGGAAGCAACCUGUAAAUAUCAAAACUUGGAAAACAUCAGUGUACCCUUGAGUUUUCAUAUCCUGUGAGUAUACAAGUUAGACAACUACGUCAUAAUAGCUGUAACAUGAGUGCAUAAAACAAUUAAAAUGAAGAAUAAAUAAUGUUUGAGCUAUAAAGCAUCCUAGAAGAAUGGCAUCUACCUUAUUCAAAGCCUAUUACUGAUCAAUGACGAACUUUUUACCUUAACACCUUGCUCUUCACCUCUCAUUUGUAAUGUUACAAACUUCUAUUAGAUAUGAUAUUAUUGAUAGCUUAUGGUUCAGGUUUAUGCAAAAGAAGUGUUCCAUUAAUAUUUUCCAUUGUUUAUGUACAUAUGUCAAUCAAACUAAUGACAAAGAAAAACAAUGUCAUCCAAUUAAUUUAAAUUUUUAGUAGACUAAAGCAUUAACAUAGCAAAAGAGCACUCAAUACUAGCCAUAUGGGUUAACCCAAGCACUCUAAUCUCUCCAUUAUCCCAGUGAAUCGCAUAAAUUAACAAUAAAUAACAGUGGAAAAGGAAUCAUUUUUCUGGACUAAUCAAGUUUACCUUCUUUGCAAAUGCUGCAAUGCUAAUUGACAGAGGGCAUGAAGGAUUCUUGAAAAUUUUAAUAAGUUCACUUGAUUUUGUUCUAAUAUUCUCUUGUGUCCCCCUUAUUUGUCUUAUCAACCUAGCGAUAUGCCUUUCACUGUUGCUGAAAUCCAUAUUAGAGCUCAAUUUCAGAGAUUGGUUCUCUUCCUCCAACUUUUUAAGUUUAUGUAGUCUUCCCUGCUCCAGAUUCAAAGCACUUUCUGCAGCUCUCAAAAUGUCAGCUGUUGAUUCUGAUUUACGAGUUCCAUUGGAUGCAGGUCCCCGCUUAUGAAGAUUCUGAUUUGCUGAACUAACAUUUACUUGUUGUCUGGCAGCAUCUCCUUGUGGGACUAAAGCAGCUACCCUUUUUGAUGCUUCAGCAGCAACCCUUUUUGAUGCUUCAGCAGCUUCCUUCCGGGCAGCUUCCUGCACUGUUUUCCUCUCUGCUUCUAGAGCAACCAUUUUUGCUUCCUCAGCUUUAUGUUUAGCCUCUGCCUCUGCUUUAGCUCUCUCUUGACGUAUUCUUUCUUCUUGCAAAGCCUUUUCCUUUCUCUUAGCCUCUUCAUGAGCUGCAUCACUUCUUAUUCUCCUUUCUUCUAUUUGUGAUUUGAGUUCAUGAUCUCGCUGGAUUGCAGUUAAGUGAUUAUCUAGUGCUUCAGCACUAGAGUUUUAUGAAAAAAAUGUCACCAUCUAUUUUCAGGAUUCUCAAUAGCUCAUUUAGAGCAGCAAGCAGUUUUCUUAAUAGCUCAUUUGGAGUGGCAAGCAGUUUUCUUAAUAGAUUUUUUAGAGUAGCAAGCAGUUUUCUUCUUUUGUGAGUGUAAGAUUAUGUUGCAUUGAGAAUAAAGAAAGCCAAAUAAAUGAAUAAAGACGAUGAAUCUUACAUUUUACGCUGAUAUUGGGUAUCAAAUUUUCGGUCUGAUUCCUUUCUUGCCUCUAUAUACUUCUCAACUCGUUUGAAUGCUGAAUCAUACUUUCCACUGUCCCUCAUUAACUCCAUCUCUAAAGUUGAGAUUUGGUUUCUAAUAUCCUCCUUAACUCCAAGCUCAGGGCUUAGCUCAAAUAGGGCACCUUCCACUAACCCUACUUCAUCCAUUAAAUAGGAUUGGCCAUCAAGAGCUAUCUGGGAAUCAAAGUCAUCACUAACACUAACAUAAAGAUCAUCACAAUUGAACCGUGUCACCGCUACCGAACUUGGACCAUGAUCCUCUUCAACUUCACUUUCUGAAUCCUCCAUCUCAUCAUCAGAAAUACGCAUUAUAAACGCCACUGGACUCCUCUCCACACUCUUCCUAUUUGAAAAGCCCCGAUAUUGGGUUUUAUCGAAGGAGACAUCAAGCUUCUUUUCAAGUAACUCAAGCUCUGAUAACACAGCGUUAAAACUCCAAUCAGGCUCAGGGUCUGCUGCAAUCUCAAGAACUUUUGGUGGACAGGGAAUUUCCAAUUUAAAAGCUCCCAUAGCUUCGGAAGAAAUUCAAAACCCGUCAAAUUGAAGUCGAAGUCGUUGCAACAGCGCAAAAUUUCCCUAAAGUUUGAGUUAACGGCACCAGAA
rnacentral:misc_RNA from 1 species